rnacentral:rRNA from 1 species
CUUGGUCAUUUAGAGGAAGUAAAAGUCGUAACAAGGUCUCCGUAGGUGGACCUGCGGAGGGAUCAUUACAAGUGACCCCGGUCUAACCACCGGGAUGUUCAUAACCCUUUGUUGUCCGACUCUGUUGCCUCCGGGGCGACCCUGCCUUCGGGCGGGGGCUCCGGGUGGACACUUCAAACUCUUGCGUAACUUUGCAGUCUGAGUAAACUUAAUUAAUAAAUUAAAACUUUUAACAACGGAUCUCUUGGUUCUGGCAUCGAUGAAGAACGCAGCGAAAUGCGAUAAGUAAUGUGAAUUGCAGAAUUCAGUGAAUCAUCGAAUCUUUGAACGCACAUUGCGCCCCCUGGUAUUCCGGGGGGCAUGCCUGUUCGAGCGUCAUUUCACCACUCAAGCCUCGCUUGGUAUUGGGCAACGCGGUCCGCCGCGUGCCUCAAAUCGACCGGCUGGGUCUUCUGUCCCCUAAGCGUUGUGGAAACUAUUCGCUAAAGGGUGCUCGGGAGGCUACGCCGUAAAACAAACCCAUUUCUAAGGUUGACCUCGGAUCAGGUAGGGAUACCCGCUGAACUUAAGCAUAUCAAUAAGCGGAG